UACGUAGGGUGCAAGCGUUGUUCGGAAUCAUUGGGCGUAAAGCGCGUGUAGGUGGUUUUGUAAGUCGGGUGUGAAAUCCCUGGGCUCAACCGAGGAAGUGCAUCCGAAACUACAAAGCUAGAGGACGGUAGAGGAAGGUGGAAUUCCUAGUGUAGAGGUGAAAUUCGUAGAUAUUAGGAGGAAUACCGGCGGCGAAGGCGGCCUUCUGGGCCGGUUCUGACACUGAGACGCGAAAGCGUGGGUAGCAAACAGG
rnacentral:rRNA from 1 species